UACAUGGGGUGCAAACGUUGCUCGGAAUUAUUGGGCGUAAAGCGCACGUAGGUGGUCUGUUAUGUCGGAUGUGAAAGCCCUCGGCUCAACUGAGGAAGUGCAUCCGAAACUGGCAGGCUUGAGUAUGUAAGAGGGUCGCGGAAUUCCCGGUGUAGAGGUGAAAUGCGUAGAUAUCGGUAGGAACACCAGUGGCGAAGGCGGUCUCCUGGGGCAUUCUUGACGCUGAGGCGCGAAAGCUAGGGGAGCAAACGGG
rnacentral:rRNA from 1 species